GAAAUGGACAUUGUAAUAAAUUUCACGAGUAGAUUCCUCUCUCGUUUUCCCAUUUUCAAUCACAUAUCAUUUGUUAAAAUAAGAUAAUAUUAGUAACACAUAAAAUAAGAUAAUAUUAAUAACACAUAAAUAAGAUGAAGUCAUUUUUUAAAAUAAGAUAAUAAUAAUAACAUAUAAAUUACAUGAAGAAUCCUUUAGUAAACUUGUCAUAUUUAAACAGUAACAUAAUACUUCGGAAAAUAUAUAGAGGUAGUUUUGUUUCUGUCAAUUUUUAUCUGUAAAUAAAAAGUCAUUAGUAGUUGAAAAACCCAUUUACAAUUGUUCUCUUGGUUAACCUUCGUAUACUCCUCAAAACCCCAAAACCCAUCAAAACCUUAGAUUAAGUCACCCAUAUCAGAUCUCAAACCAUCUCGCGCAUACCAAAUCUCGUACUAUCAUUGGUGCCCUAAUUUCUAUGAAAUUGAUACCGUUCGAUGAUUGAAUCUGUUUGGAUUGGAGCUAGAAAUCGAUUGAAUCCGUUUCAAUUGGAUUCGUGCGAGCGAAUCUGUUUCAAUUGGAGUCUGCGAGUGAAUCUGUUUCGAUUGCAUGUGUUUCGAUUGAAAACCUAGAUUCGAUCUUCGAAGAAAUCUGAUAAGAAGCUGAAACGAAUCUGAUUUUGAUUUUCAUCGAUUGGAUCAACAAUUACUGAAAAUUUGGAGAAUAAUUGAAGAUUAAGUUCUAUUGGAAGAAAUCGCUUACAAAGAUUAUGUCCAUCUCGUUAUUCUGGUUGUAGCUCUGCUAAACGCGAUAGAGAUCUCGGUGUUUUAUUAGCAGACUAUUUUAGUUCCGGCUCCCAGUUCCGGCAACGCUAGUUCCGGCUCCCGGACAUCGCUUUCAUGUCCCCUGCUCCUUGUUCCACUAAGACUAUAUAGUUUUGCCAUAUGGUUUGGUUGCUGGUUUGACUUGUAAACUUAUGGUACAACCUUAAGAAGCUAACUUACGAAGAGAGGAAACAAAAGCUUAUCGAGAGGUCGAAUGCUUUGAAUGAUGUUGCUGGAGCAAAUGAUGAUGACGAUUCAGACGAAUAUUGAUGAUUUUUGACUUUAGUUAAAUGUUUGUUAGUUUGUGGUUUAACCAUGUUAGAAGUAUGUUGAAUUCAAAACAGUUUUUGUAAUUGUUUUUGGUGAUUUUUCUUGUAAGCUUUUAGCAAAAAAAAAAAAAAAAAAAAAGCUGGAAUUUCUGGGUU
rnacentral:lncRNA from 1 species